GAUGAACGCUGGCGGCGUGCUUAACACAUGCAAGUCGAACGAUUGAAGCUGGAGCUUGCUCCGGCCGAUUUAGUGGCGGACGGGUGAGUAACGCGUGGGUAACCUGCCUCAUACAGGGGGAUAGCAGUUGGAAACGACUGGUAAAACCGCAUAAGCGCACGGUGUCGCAUGACACAGUGUGAAAACACUCCGGUGGUAUGAGAUGGACCCGCGUCUGAUUAGCUAGUUGGUGAGGUAACGGCCCACCAAGGCGACGAUCAGUAGCCGGCCUGAGAGGGUGAACGGCCACAUUGGGACUGAGACACGGCCCAAACUCCUACGGGAGGCAGCAGUGGGGAAUAUUGCACAAUGGGGGAAACCCUGAUGCAGCGACGCCGCGUGAGUGAUGAAGUAUUUCGGUAUGUAAAGCUCUAUCAGCAGGGAAGAUAAUGACGGUACCUGACUAAGAAGCACCGGCUAAAUACGUG
rnacentral:rRNA from 1 species